rnacentral:lncRNA from 10 species
CAGGUAUAGAACUAUUGAAUGGUACAGUUUGAGAUCUUCGAAACCAUCAGGACUGAUCAUUUUCUGGCUACUUUCUACAUAGGAAUCCUAGAGUUCCUUGGAGAGGAUAUGAAGGUUAUUCUCAGGCCAUGCAGAUGGGCAAGAAAGGAUGUGCGUCCAUGGUUCCUCUUCAAAUCCAACCAAAACAGCCUUGCUUCCGUUGGCUUUAUAUAAUACUGCAACUCUUGAUAAUCUGAUUUAACACAAAUUUCCUCAUUGAGUUUCUCCUCAUGAAGAAACGGCCUCAGUGAGGUAAAUCGGAAUGCACAGGAGCACAUAGCAGGCUGGAGUGUAGUGGUAUGAUCACAGCUCACUGCAGCCUCGAACUCCUGGACUCAAACAAUCCUCCUGUCUCAGCCUCCAGAGCAACUGGGAGUACAGGUGUGUGCCACCAUGCCUGACUAAGUUUUUAAAUUUUUUGUAGAGAUGGGGUCUUGCUAUAUUGACCAGGCUGGUCUUGAACUUCUGGCCUCAAGAAAUCCUCCCACCUGGGCCUCCCAGAGUGCUGGGAUUACAGGAAUGCACCACUGUGCCCAGCCCUAAAUAACUAUUUUUAUUUCCCUUUCUGUAACCGCUCAUCUUUUGUGCAUUUUUCCUUGGGUAUUGGCCUUCUUAUCAAAGUUUAAGAACUGUUUAUAUAUAGGGAUUAACCCUUAGUCUGUUGUAUGAAUUGCAAAUAUACAUGUAUUUUUAUUUGUAUAUGCAAAGUUUGUCUUUUAUCUUUGUAUAUGGGAUAGUUUUCCAAACACAGUUUUAUUUUAUUUUAUUUUUCAUCUUGCAUGUCUUUCCAAAGUACCAAGCAGAGUUUUUUUAAAAGUUGUUUUAUGGCUUCUGGGUUUUUUAAGUCAUAUUUAGAAAGAUCUUUCCCACUCUGAAAUUAAAAAAAUAAAUAAAUAAAAUCUCCCAA